rnacentral:rRNA from 1 species
AUUGAACGCUGGCGGCAGGCAUAACACAUGCAAGUCGAACGAGUGGCGGACGGGUGAGUAAUGUCUGGGAAACUGCCUGAUGGAGGGGGAUAACUAAUGGAAACGGUAGCUAAUACCGCAUACCAUCGGAGGUGCCCAGAUGGGAUUAGGUCGUAGGUGGGGUAACGGCUCACGUAGGCGACGAGCCCUAGCAGGUCUGAGAGGAUGACCAGCCACACUGGAACUGAGACACGGUCCCGCCCCCUACGGGCGGCAGCAGUGGUGAAUAUUGCACAAUGGGCGCAAGCCGGAUUCAGCCAUGCCGCGUGUAUGAAGAAGGCCUUCGGUUUGUAAAGUACUUUCAGCGGGGAGGCGUUGCCCGCAGAAGAAGCACCGGCUAACUCCGUGCCAGCCGCCGCGGUAAUAC